rnacentral:rRNA from 1 species
AGAGUUUGAUCCUGGCUCAGAAUCAACGCUGGCGGCGUGCCUCAGACAUGCAAGUCGAACGAUUAAACUUUCCUUCGGGGAAGAUAUAAAGUGGCGCACGGGUGAGUAACACGUAGGUAAUCUACCUUUGAGUGGGGAAUAACAGUCGGAAACGACUGCUAAUACCGCAUAAUGCAGCGGCACCGCAAGGUGACAGUUGUUAAAGGAGCAAUCCGCUUAAAGAGGAGCCUGCGGCAGAUUAGCUAGUUGGUAAGGUAAUGGCUUACCAAGGCUACGAUCUGUAACCGACCUGAGAGGGUGGUCGGUCACACUGACACUGAAUAACGGGUCAGACUCCUACGGGAGGCAGCAGUCGGGAAUUUUGGGCAAUGGGCGAAAGCCUGACCCAGCAACGCCGCGUGAAGGAUGAAGUAUUUCGGUAUGUAAACUUCGAAAGAAUAGGAAGAAUAAAUGACGGUACUAUUUAUAAGGUCCGGCUAACUACGUGCCAGCAGCCGCGGUAAUACGUAAGGACCAAGCGUUGUUCGGAUUUACUGGGCGUAAAGGGCGCGUAGGCGGCAGUUCAAGUCACUUGUGAAAUCUCCGAGCUUAACUCGGAACGGUCAAGUGAUACUGUUUUGCUAGAGUGCAGAAGGGGCAAUCGGAAUUCUUGGUGUAGCGGUGAAAUGCGUAGAUAUCAAGAGGAACACCUGAGGUGAAGACGGGUUGCUGGGCUGACACUGACGCUGAGGCGCGAAAGCUAGGGUAGCAAACGGGAUUAGAUACCCUGGUAGUCC